rnacentral:lncRNA from 1 species
ACAGGGUGGCUAUAACUCAAGUCUGCUGGAGAAGGCAAUGGCACCCCACUCCAGUACUCUUGCCUGGAAAAUCCCAUGGAUGGAGGAGCCUGGUAGGCUGCAGUCCACAGGGUCGCUAAGAGUCGGACACGACUGAGUGACUUCACUUUGACUUUUCACUUUUCAUGCAUUGGAGAAGGAAAUGGCAACCCACUCCAGUGUUCUUGCCUAGAGAAUCCCAGGGAUGGGGGAGCCCCGUGGGCUGCCGUCUAUGGGGUCGCACAGAGUCGGGCGCGAUUGAAGCGACUUAACAGCAGCAGCAGCUCAAGUCUGCAGGAAGUGGGGAGCACUGGAUCCCUUGAGUGCGAGGGCCCUCUGUGCACGCGGCCCUGGACUACAUGCUUCCUGCCCAUGGCCUCCUACCUCGAAGCAGGUAUUAUUGAGCUAUCUUGUCUACUUAUGUGUUUUAUGA